rnacentral:lncRNA from 1 species
AUAUUUACAACAAAACGAAACGAAAUGAAUUUAAACAUUAGAAACAAAAGAAAGAAAACAGCUAAAUGCUCCAACGAUCCAAGUUGGACAACAAGCACAUCCAAGCACUUUCCUUCCCUUCCUUUGCUACGGCACAAGGUGUUGGUGAGUGUUUGAAGGUUUGUUUGUAUGGAGGAAUGGAUGUGAAGAUGAAUGGAUGUAUUUGGAUGAAGGUUAUGUUGAAAUGGGAGUGAAUGAUCUAACCAAGUAUGAACUCAAUUUAAGUUACACACACUUCCUUUUAUAGAGGAAGUGCAAGGCAAAGCAUGGGUAAAAUGGAGUGGUGUUGAAAUGAUUCAAAGGUGAAAGUGAAGUAAUGAUGCAAAGCAUGGGUAAAAUGGAGUGGAGUUGAAAUGAUUCAAAGGUGAAAGUGAAGUGAUGAUUGAUGCAAGAAUUAAACAUGGAUGGAGUGCACGGCAAAGGUUUGUUAUGGUACAAGGAACCCUUAGUUUGUGUCCUAAAAUGCAUAGGAAACCUUCAAUGUUGCUGGAACUUAAGGACAUUUAGGAUUUAGGAAAGAUCAAACCAAAAUAGGAAACCUUGGCUUAACUUUCCUACUUCAAGUAGGAAUCCUCAUCUUUAGGUCUUCAAUUUCGUCCAUUCCUUUAGUUCCAAGCAUGUGAUAUUUUUUCCAAGCCCAAAAUUGCUCCAAAAGGCUCCAAAAUGCACAUUUUUGCAUACUUUGUCUUUAGAACCUGAAAUUGCACAAAAAUGACUUUAAACACUAAAGCUACUAAGGAAUAACAAUAUAAAUGCAUGAGAACAAGCUAACUCAGUCGCAUAAAUAUGCUCUUAUCAAAUUCCCCCACACUUAGCUUUUGCUAGUCCUCGAGCAAAACAAAAGAAACAAACGAAUCAAAACAAACAGAACACAACUUAACCUUCCAACAUUUGCCUCAGGGAUUUCCAAUGCACAUGACAUGUUAAAAAUCAUCAUUCCCACAGCUUUUAGUCAUCUUCACACUUGAGCACAUACUUAAUUACAGUCACCACUUACUAGUUUGCAAUUAACCAAUUAAAACGAUAUUUUGAAUGUAGUAACAUGCCUUAGAGAAUUUGCUCAAUUCCUCACAAGAUACUCUCUAUUUUCACACACAUUUUCUGACUACACACCCUACACUAGUUAUAUGUGAGCAGAUUGAUGUAUACAUGGAAGACUAGUACUCACAUAUGUUAUAACAAAGAAAGCAAUUUAUGGAGUUAAUAAGCAUGUUUAGAUAUGAUCUCAUGAAUGGAAUGUUACUACUUAGAUGCGAGAACCAAUGACACCAUAUGCUCAUACCAAUUUCGAACUCACAAAUUGAAACACACAACACUCAAGAUUGAAGUCACGGGUUGUAACAGGGCUUGGGGUUAAUGGCUAAUAAAGAAAGGAUAGCAAUAAUAAACGUUCUUAAAGCGAUAGCAAGCAAAGCAAUGAAAUAGACACUUGGAAUUCACUUUAGAAUGCAAAAUCAACUUUUAAAUUCAAAGGGAAGAUUCAUGCAACACUUAGGGCCGAAUUCAAUGUUUUGGACCCUUUUUUAACAAACUUUUUUCUUUUCACUCUUUUUUUUUUUCCUUUUCUACCCGUGCCUUAUUAAGGACUUUGGUACACACACACACACAAGAAUCACUUCCCCCACACUUGCUUUCUGCAAUACAUUGAUAAAAAAAAGGAGUUCAUUCUAAGUUAUGCUUUACUAUGCUUGAAGAACAAGGGUAUGGAUGGUCCUAAAACUUGUUGUAAGUAUGCCCACAAAGCCACUCAUUUGAUGUAAUAGCUUUUUGGAAUACUUAAUGUAUUAAACUUUUAUAUGUUUAAUGAAGGGCAAAGCUUAUUAUUAAUCACUAUUUAUUGUAUCAUGUGUUUAAGCAAUAAGGGAAUCCUAGGGAUGUAUUUGAUCUA